rnacentral:snRNA from 1 species
AUUAACCUCACGUGCAUAUACUAAAAAAUUGGAACGAUACAGAGAAGAUUAGCAUGGCCCCUGCACAAGGAUGACACGCAAAUUUGUGAAGUGUUCCAUAUUUUU